GACGAACGCUGGCGGCGUGCUUAACACAUGCAAGUCGAGCGGUAAGGCCCUUUCGGGGGUACACGAGCGGCGAACGGGUGAGUAACACGUGGGUGACCUGCCCUCAGCUCUGGGAUAAGCCCGGGAAACUGGGUCUAAUACUGGAUAUGACUCCAUGACGCAUGUUGUGGGGUGGAAAGCCUUGUGCGGCUGAGGAUGGGCCCGCGGCCUAUCAGCUUGUUGGUGGGGNGAUGGCCUACCAAGGCGACGACGGGUAGCCGGCCUGAGAGGGCGACCGGCCACACUGGGACUGAGACACGGCCCAGACUCCUACGGGAGGCAGCAGUGGGGAAUCUUGCGCAAUGGGCGAAAGCCUGACGCAGCGACGCCGCGUGAGGGAUGACGGCC
rnacentral:rRNA from 1 species